rnacentral:rRNA from 1 species
AUUGAACGCUGGCGGCAUGCCUAACACAUGCAAGUCGAACGAUGAAGCCGGAGCUUGCUCCGGUGGAUUAGUGGCGAACGGGUGAGUAACACGUGAGCAAUCUGCCCUUGACUCUGGGAUAACUGCGGGAAACUGUAGCUAAUACCGGAUACGACACCUUGGGGCAUCCCAGGGCGUGGAAAGAAUUUCGGUCAAGGAUGAGCUCGCGGCCUAUCAGCUAGUUGGUGAGGUAAUGGCUCACCAAGGCGACGACGGGUAGCCGGCCUGGGAGGGUGACGGGCCACACUGGAACUGGGGCACGGUCCAGAGUCCUACGGGAGGCAGCAGUGGGGAAUAUUGCACAAUGGGCGAAAGCCUGAUGCAGCAACGCCGCGUGAGGGAUGAAGGCGUUCGGGUUGUAAACCUCUGUUAGCAGGGAAGAAGCGAAAGGGACGGUACCUGCAGAAAAAGCACCGGCUAACUACGUGCCAGCCGCCGCCGUAA